rnacentral:rRNA from 1 species
UACGAAGGGGGCUAGCGUUGCUCGGAAUCACUGGGCGUAAAGCGCACGUAGGCGGAUUGCUAAGUCAGGUGUGAAAUCCUGGAGCUCAACUCCAGAACUGCCUUUGAUACUGGCGAUCUUGAGUCCGGAAGAGGUGAGUGGAACUCCUAGUGUAGAGGUGGAAUUCGUAGAUAUUAGGAAGAACACCAGUGGCGAAGGCGGCUCACUGGUCCGGUACUGACGCUGAGGUGCGAAAGCGUGGGGAGCAAACAGG